rnacentral:rRNA from 1 species
UACAGAGGGGGCAAGCGUUAUUCGGAAUUAUUGGGCGUAAAGGGCGCGUAGGCGGUUCUUCAAGUCUCUCGUGAAAUCCCUCGGCUUAACUGAGGACGUGCGGGAGAUACUGAAGGGCUUGAGUCCGGAAGAGGGUGGUGGAAUUCCCAGUGUAGCGGUGAAAUGCGUAGAUAUUGGGAGGAACACCGGUGGCGAAGGCGGCCACCUGGGCCGGAACUGACGCUGAGGCGCGAAAGCGUGGGGAGCAAUCGGG